AUUGGUGGAAAUAGGAACUACCGACAGGCACCGAUAGACUGUCGGUGCAAUAGCUGAAAUACCAUUCGAGCACCGACAGUCUGUCGGUGCAAUAGAUUUUUCGAAUAAGAACUUGGGCAGGCCAUCAAGGAUCCGUAUCAAGUAUAACGCAUCAGGUAAAGCUGCCCAUUGUCACUUUGUUGAAGGAAUCUAAAAAUUUGCAAGAGUGCACUUGCUGGAAACCGAAAGCUUUGACAACACUUUUGGCCCCAAGAAACAACGAAAGCGGCCGAGCCUUGGCACCGGUGACUUGGACAGCUACGUAUCCUCAGCCCAAAAAUCCAGCGUUGGUUACGGAAUCGAAAAAGACGAAGCUUUGAUCGUGAACUGCAAAUAACAAGUAGAUUUGAUACCAACUUUGAUCACCCAACGUUGGGUCAAGACGCUUAGCUCCAAGUACCCCACCAUGGAAUUCCGUUCUUCGAUGACCCAUCCCUUUGGUAAAGGUUCGUUGAUCAACUCUGUGCGCCAGUUUGACAAGUUUCACCCCAACAAUAAGCAAAUCAGCGUGGGUUCCAUCGGUUACCGGAAAAUUGGAAAAUCAACCGUCAUUAAUUCGUUACCCAGCAAGAAAGUCUGCGAGGGCGCCCAUCGCCGGUGAGACCAAAGUUUGACAGCACAUCACGCUGAUGCGUCGAAUCUUCCUCAUCGACUGCCCGGAAGUUGUAUUUCCCACCGGAGAGACGGACGAAGAAAAAGUGUUGAAGGGUGUCGUUCAAUUGGAAAAGCCGAAAACGUCCUAAGUA